AGCAGCCGCGGUAAUUCCAGCUCCAAUAGCGUAUAUUAAAGUUGUUGCAGUUAAAAGCUCGUAGUUGAAUUUCGGGAUCAAUAUGUUGGUCGUGCCUCGGUACGUACUAGCUUAUUGGUUUCUCCUUUCUGAAGAACCAUGAUGUCAUUUAUUUGGUGUCAUGGGGAAUCAGGACUGUUACUUUGAAAAAUUGGAGUGUUUAAAGCAGGCUCACGCUUGAAUACAUUAGCAUGGAAUAAUGAAAUAGGACGUUUGAUUCUAUUUUGUUGGUUUUUAGGAUCGACGUAAUGAUUAAUAGGGAUAGUUGGGGGCAUUAGUAUUCAAUUGUCAGAGGUGAAAUUCUUGGAUUUAUUGAAGACUAACUACUGCGAAAGCAUUUGCCAAGGAUGUUUUCAUUAAUCAGGAACGAAAGUUAGGGAUCGAAGACGAUCAGAUACCGUCGUAGUCUUAACCAUAAACUAUGCCGACUAGGGAUCGGAUGAUGUUAAUUUUUAAUGACUCAUUCGGCGCCUUACG
rnacentral:misc_RNA from 1 species